GCCCGGCUAGCUCAAUCGGUAGAGCGUGAGACUCUUACAAACACGGGAGAACCUCAAAAGUCUCUGGUCUAUGUUCAAUCUCAAGGCUGUGGGUUCGACCCCCACGUCGGGCU